GCGCCGGUAGCUCAGUUGGAUAGAGUACCUGGCUACGAACCAGGGGGUCGCGGGUUCGAAUCCUACCCGGCGCACCA
rnacentral:tRNA from 9 species